GCUAUAUCACGUUUAAACAACGGUUCCCAUACAAUCAUCGAAGUUAAGCAACGUCGAGCCUGGUCAGUACCCAGAUGGGUGACCACUUGGGAAUACCAGAUGCUGUAA